CGUCGAUUAUCUGCGAGUGUAGUUGGCCGUUACGUGGAAUUGCUGACUGCGUUUAUGGAAAUUCGUACAUUAUGUUCCCCAGCAUUGGUUCGCAAGGAAACUAUCUGGACAAAAAGAAAACAGACAAGGCAACUACUGAGCCAGGCUCCAUGAAGUGACUAUACUGGCAGAGGCAAAGACUGAGGGAGGAAGUUCACAAGUGGCCUGCAUGCACUGUGGGAAACUUCAGAUGGUGCAGACGUAACUCUGGUGGUCAGCGGCUUCUAGCUGCCAGGACACAGUCAGAUCCUGGGAGCAAGAAGUGCAGUCUCUGAUACUGUGUUGCAUUUCUCACUUUUCAUUUCGCAACAUGGUGUCAAAGACCGGGCUCCCAGCUGACACUUAGCAAAUUGAUGUGCAGCAGACAGCAGCUAUAUAGAGGAGUGAUUGUAAUUGCAGAGUAGAAGGCUGAGGGAGGCAGUUUCAUGAACGACUGCGUGCACUGCUAAAAUCUUCAGCUGGUUCGGACAUGACUGGUUGUCGUCUGCCUGGAGCUGCCAGCACACAGCCGGAUCUAGGCAGUUAUGAGCCCAGUGUUUGUCGCCAUGUUGCGUUUCUCGCAUGUCAUUUCGUAACAUGGCGGCAAACACUGGGCUUCUUACUGACGUGUUGCAAAUCGCCGUGCGAGAAGUGUGCAUCUACUAGAUAGAGGUAAGAGACACAUGAGAAGUUCUCUUACAAUAAGUGUGAAACAGUUUCUUUCCUUGCCAUUCCUUGCAUCAUGCUUGGGUGACAUUGUGAACUUAAAAAGUCCCAAAGACAGUUAUUGGAGUAGAUAGGGAUUUGGCGUUAAUGGAAAAAUGCUGAAGUAAAAUAAUUACAGCUUCUUGGCAGUUUAUUAAUUCAAAAUGUGUACUGUGUUGCCAGAUAAUUCUUCCUGAUGAUUACUCAGUAUUCAUACAGGCAGCACAAAAUUACUCUCUUCAGUAGUAGUUCACCAGUACAUCUAACAUAGUAUCUAUACAUCUAAGAAACCUGUCAGGACUGUAGAAGCAGUUCUUAACCGUUUUCUUUUUUACAACUGCACCCUUUGGUGGUGAUUAAAAACUUCAUGUGUUUUAAUAGUUAUAGAUAAAUGGUAAUGUCAAAGAUAAUUUAAGAACCUAAAUAUUUUAGUCAGUCACACUAUUAUUUAGGGCUAAUAAAUCUUUGUAGAAAAUGAUUGUAUUGUUUU